rnacentral:rRNA from 1 species
CUACGGGGUGCUCCAGUGAGGAAUAUUGCACAAUGGGCGCAAGCCUGAUGCAGCCAUGCCGCGUGUAUGAAGAAGGCCUUCGGGUUGUAAAGUACUUUCAGCGGGGAGGAAGGGAGUAAAGUUAAUACCUUUGCUCAUUGACGUUACCCGCAGAAGAAGCACCGGCUAACUCCGUGCCAGCAGCCGCGGUAAUACGGAGGGUGCAAGCGUUAAUCGGAAUUACUGGGCGUAAAGCGCACGCAGGCGGUUUGUUAAGUCAGAUGUGAAAUCCCCGGGCUCAACCUGGGAACUGCAUCUGAUACUGGCAAGCUUGAGUCUCGUAGAGGGGGGUAGAAUUCCAGGUGUAGCGGUGAAAUGCGUAGAGACCUGGAGGAAUACCGGUGGCGAAGGCGGCCCCCUGGACGAAGACUGACGCUCAGGUGCGAAAGCGUGGGGAGCAAACAGGAUUAGAUACCCCGGUAGUC